rfam:Danio rerio chromosome 4, GRCz11 reference primary assembly.
GGCUCUGUGGUGCAAUGGAUAGUGCAUUGGACUUCUAGGCUGUGAGCUGAGCCAUUCAAAUGUUGUGGGUUUGAGUCCCACCAGAGUAG